rnacentral:RNase_P_RNA from 2 species
AAGGCAGGCUUAGGUGGACGCCCCCACCGCUUUACUUUGCAAAGCGAAGCAGUGAGGGAGGAAAGUCCGGGCUCCGGAGGGCAGCGCACCCUGAGAAUAUCAGGGCAUCCCGCACCUUUUAUUUAUUCAUGUUUUGGAUAAAAAUUUUGAAUACUAAAAAGGUGCGGGAUAGGAUAAGAGCCACAGAGACGAGUAGCAGUUGAGGGUUUGUGAAAAGUUAGAUUCUUCGGCUGCGAGAUGAAACGAGGCAAUCUCUGCGCGGAGAAAGGUCAAAUAGGCCCAGCCCAUUCUACCAAUAAUGGUAGGAAUAAAAGUAGCCCGCUUGAAAUUCUCAUUUUAUGAGAAUGGGCUGGGUGGGUAGACUGCUUGAGUUCCGAUGGUAACAUCGGAAUCUAGAGGAAUGUCCAUAAAUAACAGAACCCGGCUUAUGAGCCUGCUUCAAUU